rnacentral:rRNA from 1 species
GACGAACGCUGGCGGCGUGCUUAACACAUGCAAGUCGAACGGAAAGUCCCUGCUUUUGUGGGGUCCUCGAGUUGCCAACGGGUGAGUAACACGUGAGUAACCUGCCCCUGACUGUGGGAUAACUUCAGGAAACUGAGGCUCAUACCGGAUAGGAGCUCUCGCUGCUUGGUGGGGGUUGGAAAGUUUCGGUGGUUGGGGAUGGACUCGCGGCUUAUCAGCUUGUUGGUUGGGUAGUGGCUGACCAAGGCCUGGACACGUAGCCGACCUGAGAGGGUGACCGGCUCAAUUGGGAUUGAGCUACGACACAGACUCGUACGGUAGGCAGCGGAGGAGAAUAGUGCAUAAUGGGCGGAAGGCUGAUGUAGCCACGCCGCGUGGGGGAUGACGUGCUGCGGGUAGUAAACCACUUCCGCUUGUGACGAAGCGUGAGUGACGGUAAUGGGUGAAGAAGCACCGGCUAACUACGUG